rnacentral:lncRNA from 1 species
AGAUCCACUUGCAGGUUGCUGCUCCCAGCCAUGGCUUCGCGCUGCUGGCGCUGGUGGGGCUGGUCGGCGUGGCCUCGGACCCGGCUGCCUCCCGCCGGGAGCACCCCGAGUAGGAGCAGGGCGCCUUUGGGGCUGGAUGGGAGCGCGGGGAGGCCUGCGAGCGCUGAGUAGGGGUCGGAGCAGAGCUGGGGCAGGGCUGGAGAAGGGAGAAGACCCCCCAGAUCUGUGUGGUGGGCAGUGGCCCAGCUGGCUUCUACACGGCCCAACACCUGCUAAAGCACCCCCAGGCCCACGUGGACAUCUACGAGAAACAGCCUGUGCCCUUUGGCCUGGUGCGCUUUGGUGUGGCGCCUGAUCACCCCGAGGUGAAGAAUGUCAUCAACACAUUUACCCAGACGGCCCAUUCUGGCCGCUGUGCCUUCUGGGGCAACGUGGAGGUGGGCAGGGACGUGACGGUGCCGGAGCUGCAGGAGGCCUACCACGCUGUGGUGCUGAGCUACGGGGCAGAGGACCAUCGGGCCCUGGAAAUUCCUGGUGAGGAGCUGCCAGGUGUGUGCU